GGCGUGCCUUUUGUAGAAUGAACCGGCGAGUUACGUUCCCGUGCAAGGUUAAGGUGAAGAGCCGGAGCCGCAGCGAAAGCGAGUCUGAAUAGGGCGACUUAGUACGUGGACGUAGACCCGAAACCGGGUGAUCUACCCUGUCCAGGGUGAAGGUGCGGUAACACGCACUGGAGGCCCGAACCCACGCAUGUUGAAAAAUGCGGGGAUGAGGUGGGGGUAGCGGAGAAAUUCCAAUCGAACUCGGAGAUAGCUGGUUCUCCCCGAAAUAGCUUUAGGGCUAGCCUCGGAAAACAGAGUCGUGGAGGUAGAGCACUGAUUGGGUGCGGGCCCGCAAGGGUUACCAAGCUCAGUCAAACUCCGAAUGCCAUAGACUUACUUCCGGGAGUCAGACAGUGAGUGCUAAGAUCCAUUGUCAAAAGGGAAACAGCCCAGACCAUCAGCUAAGGUCCCCAAGUGUGUGUUAAGUGGGAAAGGAUGUGGAGUUGCACAGACAACCAGGAUGUUGGCUUAGAAGCAGCCACCAUUGAAAGAGUGCGUAAUAGCUCACUGGUCGAGUGACUCUGCGCCGAAAAUGUAACGGGGCUAAACACACCACCGAAGCUAUGGCUUGAUGCUUUGCAUCAGGGGUAGGGGAGCGUUGUAUAAGGGUUGAAGGUGUACCGUAAGGAGCGCUGGACAUUAUACAAGUGAGAAUGCCGGUAUGAGUAACGAAAAGAUCAGUGAGAAUCUGAUCCGCCGAAAGCCUAAGGGUUCCUGAGGAAGGCUCGUCCGCUCAGGGUAAGUCGGGACCUAAGGCGAGGCCGAAAGGCGUAGUCGAAGGACAACAGGUCGAAAUUCCUGUACCACCGUAAGCCGUUAUGAGCAAUGGGGGGACGCAGCAGGGUAGUGACGCGGACUGAUGGAUGUCCGUCUAAGCAGUGAGGCUGAUGUGUAGGCAAAUCCGCACAUCGUUAAGGCUGGGCUGUGAUGGGGAGCGAAAAUUAUAGUAGCGAAGGUCAUGAUCUCACACUGCCAAGAAAAGCCUCUAGCCAGGUGAUGGUGCCCGUACCGCAAACCGACACAGGUAGGCGAGAAGAGAAUUCUAAGGCGCGCGGAAGAACUCUCGUUAAGGAACUCGGCAAAAUGACCCCGUAACUUCGGGAGAAGGGGUGCCCCGGUAGUGUGAAUAGCACGAGGGGGCCGCAGUGAAAAGGCCCAAGCGACUGUUUAGCAAAAACACAGGUCUGUGCGAAGCCGUAAGGCGAAGUAUACGGGCUGACGCCUGCCCGGUGCUGGAAGGUUAAGGGGAGCGGUUAGGAGCAAUCCGAAGCUGUGAACCGAAGCCCCAGUAAACGGCGGCCGUAACUAUAACGGUCCUAAGGUAGCGAAAUUCCUUGUCAGGUAAAUUCUGACCCGCACGAAUGGCGUAACGACUUGGGCGCUGUCUCAACGAGAGAUCCGGUGAAAUUUUAAUACCUGUGAAGAUGCAGGUUACCCGCGACAAGACGGAAAGACCCCAUGGAGCUUUACUGCAGCUUGAUAUUGAAUUUGGGUACGAUCUGUACAGGAUAGGUGGGAGCCUUUGAAACGUGAGCGCCAGCUUGCGUGGAGGCACCGUUGGGAUACCACCCUGAUCGUAUCUAGGUUCUAACCUGGUACCGUAAUCCGGUGCGGGGACAGUGUCAGGUGGGCAGUUUGACUGGGGCGGUCGCCUCCUAAAGAGUAACGGAGGCGCCCAAAGGUUCCCUCAGAAUGGUUGGAAAUCAUUCGAAGAGUGCAAAGGCAUAAGGGAGCUUGACUGCGAGACCUACAAGUCGAGCAGGGACGAAAGUCGGGCUUAGUGAUCCGGUGGUACCGCAUGGAAGGGCCAUCGCUCAACGGAUAAAAGCUACCCUGGGGAUAACAGGCUUAUCUCCCCCAAGAGUCCACAUCGACGGGGAGGUUUGGCACCUCGAUGUCGGCUCAUCGCAUCCUGGGGCUGAAGUAGGUCCCAAGGGUUGGGCUGUUCGCCCAUUAAAGCGGUACGCGAGCUGGGUUCAGAACGUCGUGAGACAGUUCGGUCCCUAUCUGUCGUGGGCGUAGGAAAUUUGAGAGGAGCUGUCCUUAGUACGAGAGGACCGGGAUGGACGUACCGCUGGUGUACCAGUUGUUCCGCCAGGAGCACCGCUGGGUAGCUAUGUACGGAAGGGAUAAGCGCUGAAAGCAUCUAAGCGUGAAGCCCCCCUCAAGAUGAGAUUUCCCAGUAUGUAAGACCCCUUGAAGACGACGAGGUAGAUAGGCUGGGGGUGGAAGUGCAGCAAUGCAUGGAGCUGACCAGUACUAAUCGGUCGAGGGCUUAUCC
rnacentral:rRNA from 1 species